AUAAAAUAAUUAUGUUUUAGAAAUUUUAUUAAAUAUUUAUUUUACAUAUAAAUUUUAGUGUUUAAUUUUAAUUAUUUUAAUAAUAAUUAAUUAAAAAUAAAUAGUAAUUAAUAUUAAAUAUUUAAGAAAUUAAGAUUUAGUAAUAUAAAAAUUAAUAACUAAUUUUGUGCCAGCAGUUGCGGUUAAACAAAGAUUAAAUUAAAAUAUUUCAGUUUAUAAUAAAUAAUAAAAAAUUAAAUUAAAUAUUAAAUUAUUAAGUGAAAUUUUAAUUUAGUUAAAUUUUAUAUUUAAAUUAUGAUUUAAUAACUUUUAAUAUAAACUAGGAUUAGAUACCCUAUUAUUAAAAAUUUAAUUUAUAAUACUAAAAUAGUAAAUAAUAAUUUAUUGAAACUUAAAUAAUAUGGCGGUAUUUUAGUUCAUUUAGAGGAAUCUGUCUAAUAAUUGAUAAUCCACGAAUAAAUUUACUUAAUUUAGAAUUUUGUAUAUCAUUGUUAAAAAAAUAUUUUUUAAUAAAAAUAAUAUUUAAAUUUUUAUAAUUUAAAUUAAUUCAGAUCAAGAUGCAGAAUAUAAUUAAGAAUAUGAUGGAUUACAUUAAAUAUAUUUAAAUGGAUAAUUUUAUUGUAAAAUAGAUUUGAAGGUGGAUUUAAAUGUAAUUUUAAUUAGUUUAUUAAAAUGAUUAAAAAUUGAAAUAUGUACAUAUUGCCCGUCACUUUCAUUUAAAAGUUGAAAUAAGUCGUAACAAAGUAGAGGUACUGGAAAGUGUUUCUAGAAAGAU
rnacentral:ncRNA from 1 species